rnacentral:lncRNA from 1 species
AUGGAGCAGCGACCCCCAAGAGUUCCCAAGCUGGCCUGGGUGGAGGAGGAGGAGAAGGAAGAAGAAGGCCCUGGAGCUGCCCCAGAAGUAGAGACCGAAGAGGUGCAGGAGUUCCAGCCGCUGGAGGAGGGAUGGGAGAGUGUUGGAAAAGAUCUGGAGCAGCGACCCCCAAGAGUGCCCAAGCUGGCCUGGGUGGAGGAGGAGGAAGAGGAAGAAGGCCCUGAAGCUGAUCCAGAACUGGAGACGGAAGAGGUGCAGCAGUUCCAGCCAAUGCAGGAAGAUGCAGCCAUGGACCAGACACAAGAGCAGGACCUUGCCUGUGGCCUCUUCCAUGGAACAGCACAGGAAGAGACCAGCGUCAUGGGCACUGGGUCCAUGGAAGACGGUGACGUCUACACCAGCGACACCAAUGCUGCCAUGCUGGAAUUCAUUUUGGAGGAGGGUGUUUCCAUUCCAGAGCAAGUAAGCAGCCUGUGGCCGUGGUUUGAUCCUCCAGGGAUCGCUUGGCCUCCCAAGCCACGCCUGCUGAUCACU